GGAGGGUGCAAGCGUUGUUCGGAAUCACUGGGCGUAAAGGGCGUGUAGGCGGUCCGCUAAGUCUGAUGUGAAAGCCCGGGGCUCACCCCCGGAAGGGCAUUGGAAACUGGCGGACUCGAGUCCCGGAGAGGAAGGUGGAAUUCCUGGUGUAGCGGUGAAAUGCGUAGAUAUCAGGAGGAAUACCGGUGGCGAAGGCGGCCUUCUGGACGGUGACUGACGCUGAGACGCGAAAGCGUGGGGAGCAAACAGGAUUAGAUACCCUGGUAGUCCACGCUGUAAACGAUGAGCACUAGGUGUCGUGGGUAUUGACCCCCGCGGUGCCGACGCUAACGCAUUAAGUGCUCCGCCUGGGGACUACGGCCGCAAGGUUA
rnacentral:rRNA from 1 species